rnacentral:rRNA from 1 species
AAUAUUAGACAAUGGGCGAAAGCCUGAUCCAGCCAUGCCGCGUGUGUGAUGAAGGUCUUCGGAAUGUAAAGCACUCUAUGUUGGGAGUCAGGGUAGUAAGUUAAUACCUUGCUGUUUUGACGUUCUCGACAGAAUAAGCACCGGCUAACUUCGUGCCAGCCGCCGCGGUAAUACGAAGGGUGCAAGCGUUAAUCGGAAUUACUGGGCGUAAAGAGCGCGUAGGUGGUUCGUUAAGUUGGAAGUGAAAGCCCCGGGCUUAACCUGGGAAUUGCUUUCAAAACUGACGAGCUAGAGUAAGGUAGAGGGUAGUGGAAUUUCCUGUGUAGCGGUGAAAUGCGUAGAUAUAGGAAGGAACAGCAGUGACGAAGGCGACUACCUGGACUGAUACUGACACUGAGGUGCGAAAGCGUGGGGAGCAAACAGG